CAUUGGCGCGGGACGGCCGCAAAUGUGUGCGGAUCAGAGGUGGCAAUGUCCCUAUCUCUAGUCUGUGCUGCUUUGUUGUAGAAAUGAUGGUCAUGUUCUGAGGGUCGCGUGAGAAGGCUUGAGGUUGCUAAAUGUGCUCUAUACAUAGAAAAAUCACAGAUGCCUUUUUUCCUCCCAAUUUUUAUUUAAAUCCGUUAAUGUAGAGUGUAAUAUUAGUUUCAGGUAUCAAAUUCAGUGAUUCCACAUUUCCGUACUUCACCCGGUGCUCAUCAUAACGAGCACAAUCCUUAAUCCCUAUUACCUGUUUCACCCAUCUCCCUACCCACAGCCCCUCCAGUCACCAUUAGUUUGUCUUCUAUAGUUAAGAGUCUGUUUCUUGGUUUCUCUCUCUCUUUUCCACCCCCCCACCCCCACAUUUGUUUGGUUUCUUAAAUGCAACGAUGAUGUGGCAAACACACACACACACACACACACACACAUUGGAAUAUUACUCAGCCAUAAAAAUGAAAGAAAUCUUGCCACUCACAAUUUUUAUGAGAAGCUGUUUAAGGGACACUAUCCUUCCUAGGAAUGCCACAGAGAUCCAAGGCUUUAAAAGUCUAGAAUAAAAUAAAAUCUGUUGCGAACCUUACUAUAUUGGUGAACGGCCUAAUUUUGAGUUGUCUGGCUGAGGUGCCCCUAUUCCUGGGAGGGAGUAGUGUUGAUCUGGAAGCUGUGGUUUAGUGUGAAGUCCCGUCCCGUGAAUUCCUUUAGGAGGAGUAUAAGCUUUUUGCCCUGGAGUUAAGAUUUUGGACUAGAAGGAUAACAGCUCUUCACAAACAUGAUCACUGCUGCACGCUUGCUCUUGACUUCUACUCCUCACAACCUGGUCAGGCCAACCUCUGAUUCCCUGCGGGAGCUAUCCGCCCUAGCUAUGCAGAUGAGACGAGGCUAAGUCCCCUCGAGCUGCCCGCAGAGUACGCUGGACUCUGCACCUUCUUUCACCUCAGCAUCCUCAGGUCCUCGAAGGCAGGGAGGAAGCCUCCUAGGUGUGUGCGUUCCUAGGGUUUCACAUUUGGUACUUUUUGGAUGUACUUACCUCCUCGAGUUUUCAAGAGUUGCUCAAAUGUAAAGACUAGAUUUGAAUUUGUUGAUAGAUUUUUUUUUAAAGAUUUUAUUUAUUCAUGAGAAACACACAGAGAGGCGAGAGACACAGGCAGAGGGAGAAGCAGGCUUCAUGGAGGGAGCCGGAUGGGGGACUUGAUCCCAGGUCUCCAGGAUCACACCCUGGGCCAAAGGCACACACUAAACCACUGAGCCACUGGGGCUGCCCUUGUUGAUAGAUUUCUAAAGCCGGAGCAAAAGCUCCCUUUCACUGUGAUAUCGGCAAAUUCUAUUACCUCUCUGUUUUUAGUAGACAAAUAGCAGAAUUCUCAUGAUUUUCCCAUUUUCUAGACCCAGCUCGCCCAUGCUCCUCCCUUCCUCUCCAUUACCUCUCUACUGCUGAAUUAAUGAGAGGUGAGCCAAGAAGUGCGAGUUAUAGAGUUAAAGGUGACUGAUGCCACGUGAAUUUCAGCCUCAAUGGCAACGGGGCAGCCGGGUGUAAUACACGGCAGUGUAGACUGUCCCCUGCUGGCUUCAUUCAGAACUGCAGAAAGCCUUGGUCUAACCCGCUCUGUGUCACAUUAACAGAAGAAACAGCUUUUCACAAACCUAGAAGCUGAGCCCCUUGGAAAUCCAAAGACUCAGAAUGUUAGUGUCCCCCUCUCCAGAGCUGUACGUUUUAUUUUGGUAAAUCCCUUAGCAUCACCGGGGUUGGUUGUGUUGCUUUAGAAAUUGAAUGGUAUUUCUGCUUCACAACUGUGCCAAAUCCAAGGCACUUGAUAAAGCUGUCCUUUGAAAAGUCACACUUACCCUAGAAGCCAGAGCAGGGGUGCCGUGCACACUGAGAGAGACAGGGGUGGCCUGUGCUGGGGAAAGGGUGCUGGGCUUAGCUAGGGGAGGACAGCCUUGGAUUCCUGGCUUCUUCCUCAGCCUGGGUUUAACUUGUGAAAAAUAGGGUAGUUUGACUAGAUGAUUUCUAAGGACCCUUCCAGCUUUGUGUCUGUUGUAGGCAGCAUCAUCCCUGCCUUCUAAGAGUGUAUAAUCCAGGUAGCACGUUUACCUGAACCACCAGUGGUCAUGGUAGUAAAGCACGUGCAUGGCCUGGAGGGGCUGGUUGCAUGAAGUGGUCUGACAUGAUGGAUGGUUGACCAUCUCUGUGACUGGACUUGAGUGCUUGCAUGUGGGCAUACACACACACACACACACACACACACACACACACACCACAUGCUUCCUCUCAGAUCACUGCCCCCAUAGAGUCAUCUUUGUUGAGGUCACCUGGGCACCCAGCACUUCUUGGCAAUUCCUGUGUUUAUUCUUGGCAAUUCCUGUGUUUAUUCCUACACAGCUUUCCUGUCUAUUGAGCACAAGAGUUUUUCAAAGCUUCCCUCCUCUAGUCCUGUGAAUCUGCCACCUGCUACCACACUCCUGGUGGACGAAUUUGCCUCCCUCCUGCUUCACAGAGAAAGACAGAAGCUGUUGGUAAAGAGCUCCCCUGCCCUGCCAGCCUCUCAUGGCUAGCCUGCUCCUGUUAGUAUUUAACUUACUCAUGCUGCCAAAAAAACAAAAAACAAAAUGAAAACCAAGCCUCUCCCAGGAUGCCACAUUCCCAUUCUGUAUCUCCUGGUUCCCCUCUUUCAUGGCCAAAUUUCUUGAAAGCAGUGUCUACAUUCACUGUCUCCUCCCCCUUCCCCCCAGUCACCCCCUGCUCCACUGAGUCUGGCUUCUUCCUUCCUCUCCACUCCACUGGAACUGUCACAACUAAUGAUCAUGUUGCUAAAGCCAGUGGACAAUUUAUCAUGUCUUAUCUUCUCGGGGCUAGACGGUUCUGCUGUCCCUCAGUGAACCUCUCUCUUCCCUGGACUACCACUACACUGGAUGCUUCUGGUUUCUCUUCUCCCUCUUUGGAUGCUUAUUUCCAGUGUUUGGGUCCCUGCCAACUUUGUUUUUCCUUUGGGUUCUGUCCUAGAUACUUUUCUGUUUUGCUCCAUGCACUCUCCUGUUAAAAGGAGAUGGGAACAGAGUAAAGGAAGAAAGAGCAGAGAGGGAAGUGUCUUGGAUAAGUUGGCUAUAUAAAGACAAAGUGGAGGGAAGUUGGUCCUGCUUCCAGUUCAGAACUGUAGGUGGAGUAGUGGUGGUAGUUGCAGGGGACCUUUAGUGGGUUGGAUGGAACAGUGUAAGAAUAGAGAAAAGCACUGGUUGGCAUGCCUGAGUCCCAUCAGCUCCUGUGUGGCAUGGGGAGCUGGGGCUCAGACAUGCAUGCACAUCCUCGGGGGCAUGUAGGCUGAAUCUUCUAGAUGGCUGCCAAGGUGGGGGUGGUGAUGGGACCCUGUAGAUGAACAUGGCUAGGGUGAGCUGCCUGGAGAAGGGAUGGGGUGAGAAUUGCAUUGUAAUUGUGACAAGGGAGUCCCAAGAGGCUGGGCCCAUAGCACCAGCAAGGACUGAGCUGGGGUGUAUCAGAAAGAGCUGGUCAAUAGAAAUGCCUUUCAAGAGAAAUGCCUAUGCUAGAGGGAAUGUCUCAUUUUCCAGCUGGAUACAAGGGGCAGAGCCAGACCACCUUGCUACAUGAAACAAAGGGAUGCAUCGUCAGUGCCCAUAGCACCAUCCAGAACUAAGCUGGGGUGAUUCCAAAAGAGCAGGUCAAUCGAAAUGCCUUUCAAGAGCAAUGCCAAUGCUGGAGGGCAAGUCUCAUUUUCCAGUGGGAUACAAGGGACAGAGCCAGACCACAUUGCUAAGUGAAACACAGGGAUGCACUGCCAGUGCCCAAUCCAAGGUGGAGAUCAGUUGAAGGAUGGCAAGGCCUCCACUCUCUCUAUGGGUGUUUGCAUGUUUUCAUGGCAUGGUCAUUGGCUUCCCCCAAAAUGGGUGAUCCAGGAGAGAUCACAUGUGUCUGAUGACCUAAACUUGGACGUUAUAUACUGUGAUUUCUAUUGGUUGCACGUACAGGCCCUGCUUGCUGUGAAAUGGGAGUACAGAAGGGCAUCAGUGCCUCUCCACGCCCUGACACCCUCUUGGAUAGGGGUAAGGGAGUGGGAGAACAUAGGAAAUCUUAUACAUCUCCAGAAGUCAUCCAAAAGAGCUCAUUUAAUUGGACAGAGAUUGUUGCAACAUAGAUCAUCGAAUUGAAAGUUUACUUGUCCCUAUUCUCAGGGAAUUGUGGGGUCAUGACAAUAUCCAAGUAGUUACAGAGGAUGAACAAUUCACAUUUUCUUUGCACACUUGAUUAUGAAGUGAGAAAUUUAUAAAUUUUACAAGAAACUUGAAGGGGUCUCUAAAAUACUUGAAAAUGAACUCAUAAUGGUGAUAAACAUAGUCUGUGAAAAAACCCUAUAAAAUGUGAUAUUGAAUACACUUUGUGUGUUUGAUUUCAACCACUGAAAACUAUAUGCAGUUGGGUGAAAACCAAGAUAAAAAAGCACAAGGAGCUGAAACUACCUUUGUGAUAUGCACAUGGGUAGACUUUUACAAAGUUUGUAUUUACUAUUAAUAAAAUGAAUUUAUUCAUUAGUCAAUUAUGAUUUGUUUUAAGUGAUAAGUAAAAAUCGAGUUUUUCAUUUUGUUUUCUGGUGGGGCAUCCCACUGAGCGCUGCCUUUUUCUUUCACUGGAAUGAGUGUUUCCAUUGGAAAACCACCCAGAAUAUAAUUUUCUGUAGCCAUUGCCUUAAAAACACCUUUCUUAAAAAACAUACAACUGACAUACCAUUUCCUUCUGCUCUGAAAAAUCGUAGAAGUUUUAGGUGCACCACAGGCACCUAAAUAGAAAGUAUAGUAUGAUGUCAUUUGUGUACAAUAGUCAGAUGUCUCCACCCUACCUGUCCCCUCUCUGUUCCCAAUUUCCUAUGUUCUACACUCCCUUGUGUUUCAGUAAACUUAUUUCUUUUGUAAAAUGUUUACUAUGAAAUGUAUUAUUUAUCUAUUGCUGCAUAAAAAAUUACCCUGAUGCUUAGUGGCUUUAAACAAUGGCGAUGUAUGUACUGUCUGACACUGAUUUGGGGGAAGGUAGGAGGUGUCAGGGAUUUGGGAGCGGUUUAACUUGAAAUUGCUCUUGAGGUUGUAAUCAAGGCCUGGGUCAGUUCUGUAGUUGUCAGAAAGCUUUGUGCAGGCGGCGGAAGACCCAGCCUCUGUCCCCUGCCAAAUCCAUGGCUUUUCCCACAUUUUAGAUUUUUGUUACAGUAACGUCCCACUACCAAGUUCCGCAGUCUGUUAGUUACCUAUGGCUGCAUGACUGCAUAACAAGUCACCCCCAAAAGUUAGAUGCUUAAAACAACAAUUUCAAGAUGCCUCACUUGAACUGUUUGUUGGGUGGAGUCCUUAGUUGCUUGCUCUAUGGAAACCCCUCUAGGGAUGUUUGCAUGGCAUAGUCAUUGGCUUCCCCUCAAAUAAGUGAUGCAGGAGAGCUCAAGGGAAAUCUCAAAUGUCUUUGAUGACCUAGUCUUGGAAGUCAUAUGCUGUGAUUUCUAUUGGUUACACACACAGGCCGUGCUCGCUGUGAAAUGGGAGUACACUAGGGCAUGAGUACACAGGGCAUGUAUUAGUUCACUAGUACACCAGGAAGUGAGGAGCAUUGGGGCCAUCUUGGAGACUGGCCACCACAGUUCACCCUCUGGCCUCCAAUGACUCAUGUCCUUCCCACAUGCAAACUAUACUCAUCUCUUCUCAGGGUCCCCUAAGUGUUUCGUCCCAUUGAAGUAUCUCCUGAAAAACACCCCAGAAUCUCAUUAUCCAAAUUAGGCCCAAAUGUGGGGCUCCUCAGGUCCAGUUCCUCACAAUCUGAAGAUCUGUGAAGUAAAGAGAAAAGUUAUUUGCCUCUCACACACCCAACAUUCAAUGGUGGGGCAGCAGGCACAAGAUAACUGCUACAUUCCUGUCCAACAAGCAAGGGGAAGGGGGCUAUAUAGGGGUCACUGGUCCACAGCAACUCUGGAAUCCAUCGGGAUACAUUUUAAAAAUUACUUUAAAAGGACUCAGUCUUACUCCUGCCUUGGAAUGAGUCUCUUUGCAUUUUGGCUUUGCUGUCUGGCCCUUAUUUCUACCUGAAUCAUCCUUCCUUUCCCAUGAGAGGCAGCCUAUGCUUGCAACCAAGUAGUUUCCCAGUCUUCCUGUCUGUAGAUGUUUGAGGUCCAAAGUCUACUUUUCAUUUUGAACUGUCUCUGCCCCUUUCAGUCCAAGCUGGUGGUGUUUCUGCCAUGGUGAUUCUCUCAAGGUUUUUGUGGGUGUCCUGCCAUAGUGGGUUUGUUCCUUUGGACGAAAGCCACACCCACAAAUCUCUUCCAGAUAAGACUUUAUCUCCACUUAGGCUGCCAGUGAUGGAGACAUCUGAAAGGCGACAUCUUCCUUUGUCCUUUGAAGUCUCAGACUGUGCGGGGCCGAAGAGGUCUUUGAGGUCCUAACAAAGGAUUUUUCGGUUCCACUAUCAGCUUCAUCCUUAGACCACAUUUUCUUGAAAGGGCCCUGGAUUUGAUCUUUGCCUAGACGCCAUUUCUUAAUUUUAGUAUGCUUUGUCAUUAGGGGAAACUGGAGAUUUUCAAAUGCAACCAUUUCUGGAUCUUUCCUAUUUAAUAGUCCCUCCUCUGGCUUAUCUCUGCCCUGUUGCAUCUUAGUAUGAGCAGUUAGAAAGAAGCCAAUGCACCUUCAGAAUUCAGUUAUGUCACCCAGCUCGUGAGGUACAUUUAUGUGCUACAUGCUCUGUAGAUGACAGUGCUGAUAAACUUUCUGCCACUACACAACCUCUUGUUUCCAAUAAUAGCCCCCUCUACUUCCUUGAAGCCCUCACAGGCAGCCUCCUCAGAUGUCACAGUUUUUGCUAACAGUUUUCUCCAAGUCCUCUAGGCUCUCUUUAGCCCUCCUCAAAGUCCUCCCGGCUGCUGUCAGCUGCCAAGCACACAGCUUGGCAGGGUUCUGUUUUAGUAGUGCUUCACUUCCACUGUCCCAGAUCUAUUAGUUAUCCACUGCUGCAUAACAAACCACCCCAACACUUAGAUGUUUAAGGCGACAAUGACCAUUUAUUAUCUCCACCCAUUUUCUGUGGGUUGGGAAUGAGGGGAUGACUUAGCUGCUGGUCCUGCCUCAGGGUCUCUCAUCUCGUGGAGUGGCAGGUAAAAUGUCAGCUGGACUUGCAGUCAUUUGAAGGCUUUCCCAGGACCAGCAGACCCAAUUGCAAGAUGUCUCACUCACAUGGCUGGCAAGUUGUUGCUGGCAGUAGGCAGGAGGCCUUGAUUCCUUACUGCAUGGAUCCCUCGGUAAGGCUGUUUGAGGUUCCUUACAACAUGACUGCUGGCUUCUCUCAGAAUGGAAGUCAGAAUAUUCUGUGUUUUUGCAAUGGGUCCCCUGUCAAUAAAAACAUUUUAGAAACAGAAUAUGGAGCUGCCAAUACUGAAAAUGGCUGAGAACAUAAUGCAAAACAAUGCUACCAAUGAAAAAAUGCAAAAUACCUGCUUGAAGGAAUCAGAGUUUACAGAAUAGCAAAAUGUUAUCCCAAAUACACACAGUAAGCCAAAGGAUCAAGAGACCAACUCGAAUUGUCAGAUUCCAGGAGUCAUAUUCUUACUGGUUUACUGCACUUCUUUUGGAUGGCAACUAAUGUCUUCAGAAUAGAACAGCCUCCUAUUGCUAAGGACCCAGAAAAUGAGGAUAUCUGAAGAUCAAAGAAAAUAUGGAUAAAAUGGAGUUUUUGAAUGAGUGGUGAGAUUUUUCAGCUUCCUGAUGACAGUUUCAGUGACAUAAGUUCCUUUAGCACUGGACACAUAUGGGAUUUGAAUUUUCAAGGUGGUAGAAGUGUAGCAGGUUUCAAGAUAAUACAAGGGUGGAUAGAAAAAUGAAGAUUGAAAAUAGCAAGAAUUUCUGUGAGGUGGUUCCACUUGUUGAGAAAUGUUAAGUUUUUCCAGUGAGUGACAAAGUCUAUAUACCAUGAAAGACCUUACACUCAAAGGGGUAAAAUUUAAGUUGGUUAAUGCUUCCACAUACUUAGGUGAUGCUGCUACUGCUCUGAAACAAGGCAGACUUGCCUAUGCCACCAGUGAAAAGUUAUAAUAAGUUGUUGGUCUCUACAGUGCCCAUGAAGCUGAGUCAAAACUCCAAGGGUUUGUCUAGAAUUUUUGUGCACCAACAAGUGGACGUAUUAUAAUAACCAGGUUUUGUCUCUUUGACAGACAGCUGAGUCUGAGCGGUGGUCACAUUGGCAUUGGAGUCUGUGCCCAGUGCUUUAGAAAUAUGCUGAACAAUCUGUUUUGGAAUUUUCCAGGUGCUUCAUCAGUUCUCUGCUUACAGGAGUAAAGACUGUAGUCAAUCUUUACAGGUUCAUGGUCACGCACUACCCAUAAGAAAGAUUGUCUAUUUUGACAGCCCUAUUGAACUAAUUAGCCAUUCCAUGGAACCACAGUCCUAGAUCACUUCAACAGCAUGAUCACUGUCAGCCUUUCCCAUGGAGGAUUUUGUCUUUCAGGGACCUGCCAGCAUGAGACUACUUGAUAUGUGUGGCAAUCAGGGUUUUAAUGCUAGGACUAUUCUGGAUUUCUCAAUAUAUUUUUUAUCUUCUUUAUGCUUAGGAAAGUCUUUCAUGAUGCCUCUUAAUUUUGACCUAGCCCGUGGGUUAAAAUCUACUUGUAUAGACUCCCUGUUCAGUGGUUUUGCUCUAAGAGACAGUGACUCAAGAGACUUAAGGGAUGUUGAGGUAGAAAGGGGAGACAGAGCAGAAGGUAGAGGAAAGUACAGAGGAAAGAAAAGGGUUUGGGCAGACAAAAUGAGCAAGAGCAGUACCUGACCUAAUCAAGGAAUCUCUUGUUUAGGAAUAACAGGUGUUUUUGUUGUUGUUGUUGGUGGUGGUGGUGGGUUUUUCUUUUUUUAAAGUAGGCUCCCUGCCCAGUGUGGAGCCCAGUCUGGGGCUUGAACUCAAACCUGAGAUCAAAACCUGAGGUCAAGAAGCAGAUACUUAACUGAUUGAGCCACCCAGGUGGCCCAAAGAUAUAGGUUUUGAUACUAAUUCCAAGGGAUACACACACCAUUAUGUUUAUAGCAGCAUUAUCUACAAUAGCUAAGAUAUGGAAGCAGCCCAAGUGUCCAUUGAUUGAUGAAUGGAUAAAGAGGAGGUGGCAAUAUAUGUACACACUCACACACACACACACAC